UUCCGCCAUUGCGGACUUCUUUUUCAAGUUAAUAAAUUUUUCGCUUAGAAUUUUAAAUAAUAAUUAAGCACUAGCCUUGACUUCAGCACUUUGUUUUGGUUGUAUUGUUUUGUACCACCGUGCAAUUUUGUUUUGCUCGCGUGUUCGGGGUCGUGAAAGUUGUCUCUCAACAGGAACUCAAAAUCCAAAAAAAGCUAACUGUAAGCGCCUGUCUUAAUCUUGUCUUCUAUUAUUCUCGAUAACAGCUGAAAUUAAAGUUGUGUGAAGUAUAAUUGCAUCUAAGUUUUCCAAGCCAAAUUUUUCGAAGCUGAGUCAAGUCAAGCAUCGGUAACUGGAGCUUUACUGUCAAAAUAAUAAAAAUUGUUAUACACAAAUUUAAAAUUGAAAAUUGCAGGCGAAGAUAAAUCAAAACGUAUGACAUGGACGGCGGUGGAAACCAAGGGGCUACUAAAAUGCUACUUUGUCCAAGCAGUUGAAGAAGACGCUCCAAACAAAUUAGUAAGCUGCCGUAAAGUGACGGUGUUAUUCAGGUGGUACAAUUUCUCAUCCACCAGUAUUUGUUUUGGGCUCAAUGCUAUUUGUAUAUUUCUCU